UCGUGCAGCUGGCAACAGUUGUCAGGAAAUGUAGCGUGAAGGAGGUGGCUAUUGUGGCCGUUGACGCGCAUAAGUCUCAGUGAACAGAGCCAAGUCCCAUGGAGGGUGCUAGGCCCGUUUUGCGUGUGACGAGUGCCACAAUGAACGCUUCCAGAGAGUCGGGUUGUUUGAGAACGCAACCUAAAGCCGGUGGUAUACUCCAUCGAAAGCUAAAUACGGCCACGAGUCCGAUAGCGAACAAGUACCGUGAGGGAAAAUUGAAAAGCACUUUGAAGAGAGAGCGAAAUAGUGCGUGAAACCGCUCAGAGGCAAGCUGAUGGGCCCUCGAAGAUGUGGCAAGGAAUUCAGCCGAUUAUUUUCAGCGCACAACUGAGCUAUUAUAUUGACUGUAGCUAUUUUGCUUGCAGCAAUUGGUUUGGUUGGUUGAGUGCUGAUAAUUGGUGCACUUUUCUUUGUCCAUACGUCACCACUAUUGCUGUUUUUGAUGUGCCCGCAGCAAGUGUGUGAUCACCUGUUAAUUAUGCUUUUAUAGUAUUGUUUUCGGGCUGUUUGCCGCUUGUAAUUGCGCGAGUGCAAUUGCGACAUCCAGUAAUAGACCAGACAUUUUCACUACUGAUGUUUUCAAUGCCAGUUAUUGAUAGCUUAUUGGUAGGCCAUGUUUAGCGAAUCAAAAAAGGUUCGAUUUGCGUGGUUUGUGGUUUGUUAAAAACCACUAUUACUACUAUAACUCUGUUAAUGCUUUGGCGUGGUAGUUUGUAACUGUCGGUGGCGAGUAGACGGUCACCCAUCCAUCCCGUCUUGAAACACGGACCAAGGAGUUUAACAUGUGCGCAGGUCGUUGGGUGUUUAGAAUACCCGAAGGCUUAGUGAAAGCAAACGGCAUAGCUCGGCUGUGUCAUAGUGGCAAGAUCUUGUUUUUGUUGAACAAGCGCAUUGCCAGCCCGCACUAUGGUUACGUACCUUGGGCGGAGUUAGAGCGCACACGUUGAGACCCGAAAGAUGGUGAACUAUGCCUGUGCAGGAUGAAGUCAGGGGAAACUCUGAUGGAAGUCCGUAGCGAUUCUGACGUGCAAAUCGAUCGUCUGACAUGGGUAUAGGGGCGAAAGACUAAUCGAACCAUCUAAUAGCUGGUUCCCUCCGAAGUUUCCCUCAGGAUAGCUGGCGCAUGUUUUCGGCAGUCUCUCCCGGUAAAGCGAAUGAUUAGAAGUCUUGGGACCGAAACGGUCUCAACUUAUUCUCAAACUUUAAAUGGGUGAGAAGUCUGGCUUGCUUAAUUGAAGUCCGGACCGUUAUUCGUUUCGAAUAACGAUAUUGGAUGCCUAUGUGCCAAGUGGGCCAUUUUUGGUAAGCAGAACUGGCGCUGUGGGAUGAACCGAACGUCAAGUUACGGCGCCCGAGUGCGACGCUCAUCAGACCCCACAAAAGGUGUUGGUUGCUAUAGACAGCAGGACGGUGGCCAUGGAAGUCGGAAUCCGCUAAGGAGUGUGUAACAACUCACCUGCCGAAGCAACUAGCCCUGAAAAUGGAUGGCGCUUGAGCGUCCCGCCUAUACUUGACCGUUGCUGCACGUGCUCUUUCAGUUUUUUAUUAAACUUGUUAUGAGCGCGCUAAUCACGCUGCAACGAGUAGGAGGGUCGCGGCGGUAUGCGGCGAAGGAUUUGCGGCGUGAGCCGGUCUGGAGCUGCCGUCGGUGCAGAUCUUGGUGGUAGUAGCAAAUACUCAAGCGAGAAUCUUGAGGACUGAAGUGGAGAAGGGUUCCAUGUGAACAGCAGUUGAACAUGGGUCAGUCGAUCCUAAGGCAUCGGCGAAAGCCGUUCAGACGCGGUGUCGGAAAAUUGGCAUGUAUGUGUGUAUUUAUACAUGUGUAUAUGCUGGCUGUGUGGCUUUAUGCGUGCACAGUCACCGCACCUGCCGAAAGGGGAUUGGGUUAAUAUUCCCAAACUCAGCAACGGAUAUUGAUCACCCAUUAGGCUGCAUUGGUCGUGUGCUAGUGCAUGUCCGGGG
rnacentral:rRNA from 1 species